UACGUAGGGGGCAAGCGUUGUCCGGAUUUAUUGGGCGUAAAGAGCGUGUAGGCGGUCAUGUAGGUCCGUUGUGAAAACUCGAGCUCAACCUCGAGACGCCGAUGGAAACCAUAUGACUAGAGUCCGGAAGAGGAGAGUGGAAUUCCUGGUGUAGCGGUGAAAUGCGCAGAUAUCAGGAAGAACACCCGUGGCUAAGGCGGCUCUCUAGUA
rnacentral:rRNA from 1 species